rnacentral:rRNA from 1 species
UACGUAGGGUGCGAGCGUUAAUCGGAAUUACUGGGCGUAAAGCGUGCGCAGGCGGUUCGUUGUGUCGGCGGUGAAAUCCCCGGGCUCAACCUGGGAAUGGCCGUUGAAACUGGCGAACUGGAGUGUGGCAGAGGGGGGUGGAAUUCCGCGUGUAGCAGUGAAAUGCGUAGAGAUGCGGAGGAACACCGAUGGCGAAGGCGGCCCCCUGGGCUGACACUGACGCUCAGGCACGAAAGCGUGGGGAGCAAACAGG